AUUAAUAAUAUGGUGGGAAACUGUGGUCACUAAAUAGAAGUUAAUUAUCAUUAUCGUAUUUUAUCAUUUGCUAUAGUCAUACCACCAAGGUACACAGUAGAACUCGCCUGUGGUUUUGGAGCCACGGUCUUUUUGGUGGUGGUUCUCAUCGUGGUCUACCAUGUUUACUGGCUCGAGAUGGUCCUCUUUUACCGGGCUCAUUUUGGAACAGAUGAAACAAUUCUUGAUGGAAAGGAGUAUGACAUUUAUGUUUCCUAUGCAAGAAAUGCUGAAGAAGAGGAAUUUGUGUUACUGACACUACGUGGAGUUUUGGAGAAUGAAUUUGGAUACAAGCUGUGCAUCUUCGACAGAGACAGCCUGCCUGGGGGAAAUACGGUGGAAGCAGUGUUUGAUUUCAUUCAGCGGAGCCGAAGGAUGAUUGUUGUCUUGAGCCCGGACUAUGUGACAGAAAAGAGCAUCAGUAUGCUGGAGUUUAAGCUGGGUGUCAUGUGCCAGAACUCCAUUGCCACUAAGCUCAUUGUGGUGGAGUACCGUCCGCUUGAGCAACCCCACCCAGGCAUCAUGCAGCUGAAGGAGUCUGUGUCGUUUGUAAGCUGGAAAGGAGAAAAAUCCAAACAUUCUGGCUCCAAGUUCUGGAAGGCCUUGCGCUUGGCUCUUCCUCUGAGAAGCCUGAGCGCCAGCUCCGGCUGGAAUGAGAGCUGUUCUUCUCAGUCUGACAUCAGUCUGGACCAUGUUCAGAGGAGAAGUCGUUUGAAAGAGCCCCCAGAACUCCGAAGCUCAGAGAGGGUGUCUGGAGCAGCGCCAGCCCCAGGCACCAUGUCCAAGCACCGAGGGAAGCCCUCGGCAGCCUGUCGCUGCUGUGUCACCUACUGUGAAGGAGAAAGUCACCUCAGGAGCAAGAGUCGGGCAGAGAUGCACACCCACCCCCAGUGGGAAACACACCUCUGAGACAAAAGACCUGAAGCACCUGUAUCCAGUUAUUGCCUCUAACGGCCUUGGAAGAGCACACUCUUCUCGGGCCCUAGAAGGCUCUGAUUUUCUCCAGCCAAGGAGGACCACAAAUCAUCCUUUUAACAGUGUUUGCAGGCAAUAGCUGAAAAUGAAGGGCCUGUUUAGCCCUUGGAAUUGUCUCAGCAUAAGCAAACAAUCGAAUAGAGUGGUUGGUAGAAUGUAUUUAUAAUGUAUGAACUAUCUAACACUACUCUUUGGAACUUGGUGGGAGUGUUCCAGCCAUCGUCUGUAUUAGAGUAAGAUAAGUUAUGCUGGGCUAAUACUUCAAUAACUUCCCAUUACACAUCUUAUUUUUGCUGAUGCUAAGGGUCCAGCUUAGGGGCUUGCAGUUUUGUGUCCUUGCCGUGUGAAAUGUGUAGCUUGCAGUUGUCCUAUACUUGAGCUUAAAUUGACACUCCUUAAUUUCUUUCUCUUAUAUUUUAUUAAGUAGAACUAUCUCCAGGGUUCUGGAGUCAUAGAGAAGGCUACAAAAACAUAUUCUAGUGCCACUGGAAAGGGAAGAUUCCAUUGAACUUUUUGAACACAUGGCAUAGUCUUCUUCUACAAAUGAGAUGAGGAUGAGAUGUGUAUGUAAGCUGAUGAAGCUAGGAAGUACUAUCAAUCUUCUAUUACUCCAUCUAAUAAAAUAAACAAAAGACUUUGAUGUUCACAUCUAACAUCAGUGUGCCAAGAUAUCAAGAUGAAACCCCAUGCAUAAAAGAAUAAAGCUUUCACAUAAAUGUUCCCUAAAUGAAGGUUGUUGACAGACUGUGUUAUAAUAAUUACAGUUUCUGUAAACUUGGUUGAAAAAAGUUAAUAGUUGCCAUAUUUGGUUACUUUCUAUUUAGUGGCUUAGGUAAGUACUCUCUAAAAAUGUGAUGCUUAAACUGUUUGCAAAUGAGCCGUUUCAUUUUGGAAAUUCAGGGAGCCUCAGAAGAAUUGAAGGCAUUUAGAACACAGCAGAGCAUGUAACAUGGUCAUUAGGAAGCACCAUUGAUCCAUUUAUCUGAAGACUUAAACAGGGAAUAACUCAGAUGAAAGAGACCAGUACCUGUGUGGGUGUCAUGGAGUCUGUAACUACUCUCUUUUUGUUUUCUCUCUUUCAGAUUGGGUUCUAUUGCCAUUAAGUAUUUGAACUUUUAUACAAAUUUUUCUAAUGUAUACAGUAUUAUUUGGUAAUAAAUUAAAGCUCUCCUUGGUUUGGCAAAAAUAAAUAUUUCAGAGUCUUGAGACAUGAGAACAGCCCGUAGUGUCAAACAAAGAAGGACUUUGUUUCUUGAUGUCUUGAGGAAAUUGCUCAACAUCCAAAAUCCUUCUAAGAAUGGCUCACAUAGUUUCUUCUUGAAUCUUUCAAAUAUGUAAAAAUUUGAAAAUGUAAAGAACAGCUUUCUGAAAAGUUUGCAUGGGUAGAAAAGUAGAACUUUGCAAACAAUAUCUGUCAGCAGAUCAUGAGCUGUACUUCUCUUUCCCUGGAUGAAUUUUAUUUGAAUAUUUUAUGAAUAUAUGGUACAAACAAUUUUAAACUGUGUGUAGUGGAGCAUCCCUGCAAUUCCAACCCUAGACCAUGCUGUGUGCCACAGUAAGUUAAGUUCUAGGCCAGCCUGGGAUAAAUAGUGAGGUCACCCAUUCCAAAAUAAGAUUAAAAUAACCCCUGAUUUUCAUUUAUUUAACUCACUGAUUUAUUUUAAUUGUGAUAGCUGUGUCUCAGACUUAUCUUAGAUCCAGGGACAAGUGUUUCUGAACUAGAAAGGAACUUAGUCUUUGAGGCCAAUUGUACCUACCUGUGGUGUGCCACAGACAAUCAAUCCUCUCCGAAAUGAUUUAGAUCUUUGAUCUUGAUGAGGAUGACUGCUUUAAGCACCUUUAUAAUUUCUGAACAGUAGUCAACAAAAAUUCUGUAAUGAUACCUUGUACAUAGGGAAUGAAAGGGAAAAAUAAAUACUAAUAUCAUGGAUAGUAUUUUUCCUCCUUAAAGUGUAAAACUUAAAAUUCAUUGCCAAAUGCUGUAACUGAAUUAUUUGUUUAAAGGAAAAGAUAAAGAAAUCUUUUAGCGUUUUUAGUUCUUGGCUUUUAUAUUGUUUCAUAUUGAUUAUGAGAUAGUGAGAAAAUAACAAUGAAGAACAUAAAAUUACAAAAGUUAAUAAAGUUACUAACUUGAAUACCCAAAGAAGACAAUAGUCUUAAUGUUUAUUAUUUUCCUAUGGCCAGUCCCUAAAGCAGUCACUUGGUUAUUAGCAAAUUCUAUUAAUGAUAUCUAAGAAGACCCCUAGGGCAAUCAGGCCCUAUUUCCCUACUUCUGAGUAGCAAGAUAAAAGGAAAAAUGUGUAAAAUCUCCUUGGUACUGGAUGAAUAAGAUGUUGUGUGGAUUUCAGGGCUUAGGAAACAAAAGUAGACAGUCAUUCCCAUUGUAAGCUUUAUAUUGUUUACGAUAUUACUUUGGAGUCAGGACAUAUGCUUUGGGAUAACAGUUACUAUAGUAAAUGUGCAUUUCAAUAGCACAUGUUUGCUCUAAAAUUCUCAGUUUCUUCAUGUUAAGUGGAAAUAAUAUCUACCUCAUUGAAUUGUUGUAAGGGUAAAAUUAAACAAUAAAUGUGAACUUCUAAAAUCUGU